AACAUCGCGCACCUGCGGGAACCUGCGGAAGGAUCAUUACCAGAGAGCCUUUUGGCACUCCAACCCAUUGUGAACAUACCUAUCGUUCCCUCGGCGGGCUCAGCGCGCGGGGCCUCCGGGCUUCCGGGCGUCCGCCGGGGACAACCAAACCCUGAUUUACUACGUGUAUCUCUGAGGGGCGAAAGCCCGAAAACAAAAUAAAUCAAAACUUUUAACAACGGAUCUCAGAUCGGAAGAGCA
rnacentral:misc_RNA from 1 species